rnacentral:rRNA from 1 species
UACGUAGGGGGCAAGCGUUGUCCGGAAUCAUUGGGCGUAAAGAGCGUGUAGGCGGCUCGGUAAGUCCGCUGUGAAAGUCCAGGGCUCAACCCUGGAAUGCCGGUGGAAACUGUCGAGCUAGAGUCCGGAAGAGGCGAGUGGAAUUCCUGGUGUAGCGGUGAAAUGCGCAGAUAUCAGGAGGAACACCCGUGGCGAAAGCGGCUCUCUGGGACGGUACUGACGCUGAGACGCGAAAGCGUGGGGAGCAAACAGG